UAUAACUAAUCAUAAUUCCAUUAUUUUUACAUWAAAAAGAGAAUACUUCAAAAUGAGAAGAUCCUGCCAUGGAAAAGACGACUGGGUGGACAUAAAGUGAAAGGAGGGGAAAUAACUCACACCCUGCAGUAGGACACCUUCAGCUGCGGGGUCUUUGUAAUGCAGAUGGCCAAGGAAGUUGCACAGAACUUCCCCAACAUCCCCUCCCAAAUUGAUAUGGAACCUUCUAAAACACAUGGAGCAACUGUGAAAAGAAAUGGCUGAGGAUAUACUAAAAAUGUCUGAGUUCAACAAAGCCAACAACUGCUUCAUGUGUGCC